rnacentral:lncRNA from 1 species
AGGACCUGCACUGACAGGAUCGUAGCGUGUUACGAUAACUGUGUGCCUAGAGAGUCCUUUCUGCUUUCUUGUGUCUGUCCCUGUCACCUGCCUCGAACACAAUGUUUAUACCGAAUGUUUAAUUUCAAGGAUGCAACAGGACCAAGCCCUCUCUAUCUGUUCAGCCCCAUCUAGCUACCAGGAGAGCUGUUUACAUGGAAUCCAAGUUGCCUGCCAGGGGCAGAGCACGUUUUUCCACAGCUGCUGAGAAAGACGAGUGAGUCAAGACAGAAUAACAAAAAGCCACUUCAAAAACACACCAGAAGAAGUACGAAGCUGAGACAAUCACAGGACAAUAGAGCCCAUUGAAGAGGAGCCUGGAGUUGGAGGUAUUGGCUCAAGUCCCUCCGACUGUCAUUCAGUUGCCAUGAGACUUUAGGUAAGUUACUAUCAAAUGAACCACAUCCCUUGCCAAAGUAGGGGCUAAGAUUUUUUUUGUUUUGGUUUGGUUUUUCGAGACAAGAGUAUCUCUGUGUAGCCUUAGCUGUGUUGGAACUCACUCUGUAAACCAGGCUGGCCUUGAACUUAGAACCCAGAGAUCUGCCUGCCCCUGCUUCCCAAGUGCUGGGAUUAAAGGCGUGUGUGAGACAGGGUCUUACAUGGCUCAGGCUGACCGAUAGCUGCCUGUAUAUUUGAGGAUGGCCUGGAGUUCCUGCCUUCACCUCCCAGAUGUUGGGGUCACAGGCAUGCUCAGUUACUUUGGGUUUCGAUUUUCAGUUUUCUUUUUUCCUCUUUUGGAAAGAGGAUCUCAAAGAUGUAGCCCAGACUACAGGUACCCAUGGUGCUGCAUUAGUUUAAAAGGUGAGAUCUCAACCCUUGGGAGGUACAACAGUCAAUCAGUCAAUCAAUUAUCAAUAAAUCAGUGUGAUCCUCAGUGUACCCCGGACAUUUUAAAUUUAACUAAUUGAAUGUGUGGGUGUUCUGCUGCAUAUAUGCAACAGGCCAGAAGAGGGCAUCAGAUCCCCUUAUAGAUGGUUGUGAGUCACCAUGUGAUUGAAGGGCUGGGAAUUGAACUCAGGACCUCUGGAAGAGCAGUCAGUGCUCUUAACCGCUGGACCACCUCGCCAGCCCUAGCAACACUAGCUUUUAAUACUCUUCAAAUGAUUCCAACGUCCAGGCAAGAACCCUGAUCCUCCCAGAACUUCUCGAAGUUUAGCGUGUGCAGGAAAUCAGCUGGUCUGGUACAGCUGUUUGACAUCUGCAGUUCUACUGAAUCCACAGGUGAUGCCCACGACCACACCUGGGAUGAUAUUGUCCCUGUUUAUGUUCCUGUCCUUGUUCCCUCCAAUGACACCGUGGGCAAGCGUUGUCCUCCCGCUCUGUUUUCAUGGGCAUAUCACCUGCCACUUGAAUUCUCAUUGGAUGCUGUGGGUCUGAAUCAGAUAGACAAUCCAAGAGGCUAUCCUGCUCCCGCGGGUAGCCAAGAGGCUUUGUAGCCCAGACUACAUGUACCCAUUGGGGUUGUUUUUUUUGGUUUCUUGGUUUUUUUGGUUUCUUGGUUUUUUUUUUAGUUUCAUAUUUUUAUUUUCUUCUAUAUAACAGAGUUGAAUAUGCUUUUUUUCUUACUUAUUCACUUUACAUCCCACUCAUUGAUCCUCUCCCAGUCACCCCUUCCUGCAAUCCUUCCCUCCAUCCCUGCUCCCCUUCCCCUCUGAGCGGGUGGGGGUCCCCCUGAUAAUUCCCCUACUAGCACAUCGAAUCUCUGUGGGGCUAGGUGAAUCUUCUUCCACUGAGGCCAUACAAGGUAGCCCAGCUAAAAGACUAUGUCUCAUGGACAGGCAACAGCUUUUGGGAUAGCCUCUGCUCCAGUUGUUGGGGACUUACAUGAAGACCAAGCUGCCAAUCCAGCCUGUGUAUACUCUACGGUUGGUGGUUCAGUCUCUGAAACCCCCCAAGGGUCCAGGCUAGUUGACUCUGUUGGUCUUCCUGUGGAGUUCCUAUCCCCUUUGGAGACCAAAAUCCUAUUCUUUCAUAAGAGUCCCCAGGCUCUGUCCACUGUUUGGUUGUGGAUGUCUGCCUCUGUCUGAAUUAGCUGCUGGGUAGAGCCUUUCAGGACAGCCAUGCUAGAUUCCUGUCUGCAAGUAUAACAGAGUAUCAUUAAUAGUGUCAAGGAUUGGUGCUUGGCCAUGGGAUAGGUCUCAAGUUGGGCCGGUUAUUGCUUGGCCAUUCCCUUAGUCUCUGCUCCAUCUGCUGUCCCUGCAUUUCUUGUAGACGGGAUACAUUUUGGGUUGAAUGUUUUGUGGAUGGGUUGGUGUCACUAUUGGAAGAGGCCUUUUUUUUUUUUUUUUUUUUUUUUUGGUUUUUCCGAGACAGGGUUUCUCUGUAGCCCUGGCUGUCCUGGAACUCACUUUGUAGACCGG